UCUUGCCCGUUUCAAGUAAUUUGAUUUACUGGUGCCUGGUGGUGUGGUGAUAUUCUUCUUCUAAACACCAAGUCGCGUCUCUGUUUUUUUAUCUCAACCCAUCAUCGUUUUCACUUGUUAAAUUUUCUAGGGUUUGGUUUAUAAACUGAAUUGUUCAUAGUUUUUUCAUGAAACACUUCGCUUUUUUUAGGUUUAGGAUGAUCAGUUUAUGGUUUUGAUGGAUACGCUUCUUCUCUGUGACUAAUUUCUUCUAGGGCUUUGUUCUUCCUCUUAACUCUUCUUUUACUUCUUCUUUUACUCUCUGUUAUUUUAUUUUUUUCCUUACGCUCCUUUUUUUCUCCGACUUGCAGGUGUUUCGGAAGCGAAUUAUGAUCGGAUCAUCACGUAUUCUUCUCCAGGCUAUGUCUCACAGAUUUGUGGAAGAGGUUGCUAUGAUUGAUCGGUGAUGGCUUUGACCGACCGUUGUCACUCUGAUUCAUGUAAUUCUUCUAGGGGUUUUGGAUGAUGCUUUUAUCGAUGAGAGUGAUGGCUUGGUCUCUGUGCAGCUAACCGUCUUCAAGGGUGUUGUGGAAGCCAAUUAUGAUCAGAUCUUCGCGCAAUUUUCUCUAGGCCUACGUCUUCAAGCCUUCUCACCGGUUUGUGGAGGCUUUGACUGAUCGUUGUCACUCUAAUUCAUGUUCUUCUUCUAGGGUUUUUGGAUGAUGUGAAAGUGAUGAUGGCUCAAGGACACGCUUCGCUUCUUCUCUGUGCUAACGUCUUCAAGGGUGUUUUGUAAGCGAAUUAUGAUAUGAUCGGAUCAGUGCAUAUUCUUCUCUCACGGUUUCCUUUCUCUAAACACACAUCUAUUUAAUUUUCUUCUGAUAAAUAUAACUUACUUGUCGAUCGGUUUUUGUUUUGUUGGUUCACAUUUGUGGAGGAGGAGGAUCCUACCAUCGUCACUCUAAUUCAGUUUAUUCUUCUAGAGUUUUGUUUCUGAAUUGAAUCAUUGAAGGCUUUUUAUGAUGUUUAUGCGAUUUUUUACCUUUUGCUCUGUUAUUUCAGGUUUGUGGAGGAUCGGUCGUGAUGCUUUUGAUGGAUCCUUUUUUUUUUUAAAGUUGAUGAUCUUCUUAGUGAUAAUGGCAUUUCUGUUUCAGGGGUUAUGUUCUUCCUUUAAACACUUCUUUUACUCUCUGUUUUUUAUUCCUUACGUUCCUUUCUUCUUCAUCUUGCAGGUGUUUUGGAAUUAUGAUCGGAUCGGUGCAUAUUCUUCUCCA